rnacentral:rRNA from 1 species
GACGAACGCUGGCGGCGUGCCUAAUACAUGCAAGUAGAACGCUGAAGGAGGAGCUUGCUUCUCUGGAUGAGUUGCGAACGGGUGAGUAACGCGUAGGUAACCUGCCUGGUAGCGGGGGAUAACUAUUGGAAACGAUAGCUAAUACCGCAUAAGAGUAGAUGUUGCAUGACAUUUGCUUAAAAGGUGCAAUUGCAUCACUACCAGAUGGACCUGCGUUGUAUUAGCUAGUUGGUGGGGUAACGGCUCACCAAGGCGACGAUACAUAGCCGACCUGAGAGGGUGAUCGGCCACCCUGAGACUGAGACACGGCCCAGACGCCUGCGGGAGGCAGCAGUAGGGAAUCUUCGGCAAUGGACGGAAGUCUGACCGAGCAACGCCGCGUGAGUGAAGAAGGUUUUCGGAUCGUAAAGCUCUGUUGUAAGAGAAGAACGAGUGUGAGAGUGGAAAGUUCACACUGUGACGGUAUCUGACCAGAAAGGGACGGCUAACUACGUG